AUUGAACGCUGGCGGCAGGCCUAACACAUGCAAGUCGAGCGAGCGGCGGACGGGUGAGUAAUGUAUGGGAUCUGCCCGAUAGAGGGGGAUAACUACUGGAAACGGUGGCUAAUACCGCAUACUAUUGGAUGAACCCAUAUGGGAUUGGUUAGUAGGUGGGGUAAAGGCUAACAUAGGCGACCAUCUCUAGCUUGUCUGAGAGGAUGAGCAGCCACACUGGGACUGAGACACGGCCCAGACUCCAACGGGGGUCAGCAGUGGGGAAUAUUGCAAAAUGGGCGCAAGCCUGAUGCAGCCAUGCCGCGUGGAUGAAGAAGGCCUUAGGGUGGUAAAGUACUUUCAGCGGGGAGGCGUUACCCGCAGAAGAAGCACCGGCUAACUCCGUGCCAGCAGCCGCGGUAAUAC
rnacentral:rRNA from 1 species